rnacentral:rRNA from 1 species
UACAGAGGGUGCAAGCGUUAAUCGGAAUUACUGGGCGUAAAGCGCACGUAGGCGGUUUUUUAAGUCAGAUGUGAAAGCCCCGGGCUCAACCUGGGAAUUGCAUUUGAAACUGGAAAACUAGAGUGUGUGAGAGGGGGGUAGAAUUCCAAGUGUAGCGGUGAAAUGCGUAGAGAUUUGGAGGAAUACCAGUGGCGAAGGCGGCCCCCUGGCACGAUACUGACGCUCAGGUGCGAAAGCGUGGGGAGCAAACAGG